GACGAACGCUGGCGGCGUGCUUAACACAUGCAAGUCGAACGGAAAGGCCCUGCUUUUGUGGGGUGCUCGAGUGGCGAACGCGUAGGUAACACGCGAGUAACCUGCCCUUGACUUUGGGGUAACUACAGGAAACUCGGGCGCAUACCGGAUAGGAGCUCUUGCUGCACGGUGGUGGUUGGUAAGUUUCGGCGGUUGUGGAUGGACUCGCGGCUUAUCAGCUGGUUUGUGGGGUAGUGGCUUACCAAGGCUUUGACGGGUAGCCGACCUGAGAGGGUGACCGGGCACAUGGGGACUGAGGUACGGCCCAGACUCGUACGGGAGGCAGCAGUGGGGAAUCUUGCACAGUGGGCGGAAGCCUGAUGCAGAAACGCAGCGGGCGGGAUGACGGCCUUCGGGGUGUAAACCAAUUUCGCCUGUGACGAAGCGGGAGUGACGGUAAUGGGUAAAGAAGCACCGGCUAACUACGUG
rnacentral:rRNA from 1 species